GGGGAGGUAAAACAUGUGAAAAGAUCAGGGACAGAGAAAAAAGUGCUUCCAAACAGACCCAAACCAAAAGUCACAAAGGCAGAAAAUGAAGUACAGGUAUUGACUUUCAACACGGCUGCUUCUCACAUGGGCAAGUUUAAGUGCUACACUUAAAGUAUACUACUUAAAGCAGGAAUGUUUUCCUGAGACCAAAAGGCCACCUACUUCUUUAUACAGUUGACCUGUGAACAAGGGUUUGACUGCACAAAUCCACUUAUACAUGAUUUUUUUUUUAUAAAGAGUACUGUAAAUGUAUUUUCUCUUACGAUUUUCUUAGUAACAUGGUCUUUUCUCUAUCUUACUUUAAGAACACAGUAUACAAUACAUACAACAUACAAAACAAAACAUGAUAAUCGAUUGUUUACAUUACCUGCAACAAUUCUGGUCAACAGUAGUAGUUAAGUAGUUAACAGUAGUAGUAAAGUUCUUGGAGAGUCAAAAAUUAUACUUGAAUUUUUGACUGCAUCAUUCGAGGGUCAACUGUGCUACCAGAAUUCACCAGUAAACAGAGAACCAAGGCCAUAAUUGGAAUAGUGCUUUAAAAAAAUCCUCUUAGACUACCAGCAAGAAAAGAAAUCAACACCACACCUAGAAGUUCAGUUUCCUGAGAUGGGAGAAGAGGGUCCUUUUAAAAAAGAAAAUCUAGAGGGGCGCCUGGACUGAGCAUACUUGUUCAUAUUGUCCAUAAUAUCCGCCAAAA